UCAAAGAGUUUUUCCAGAAUGAAUCGGCGCCACUAAGCGUCACUCAAAAACAGAAAAACAAUUAGCCAUUACAGCAAAUUAGCAAGCGAUUCUCCACACAGCUACGCCUGUUUUUUAAAAAAACGGCACGACAUUUUUAAAACCAUAUUAGGGUAUACUGCGAUUUAAUGCUAGCCAAUCAGAUUUUGAGGACAUUUUUUUUGAACGCAUGAAGCAAAUUCCUUUGGCUCCAGAUGACAAACCAGGACCUGGCUGACAAUGAACAAAGCCCUGCAUCCUCCCCUGAAUGAAACUAAUAAUAGUAGUUUAAAAAAGAAAAAAGAAAAAGAUGAUUCAACAACCACGUGGUCUCCAAGAUGUGACUCGGAUGUGAAAAGUGCGCGCUGAGGACGGGGCCCGGCCGCGAGCAGAAGCCGACAAAAACAUUACCUCACUGGCCGUCCCUCGCCCUGCCGCGACCCUCGGCAGAGACAGGCCGGGGGUUUAAGUGCACGGAGCAAGGGCGCAGAUGGCGGCGGACAAAUGUGAGCCGUCGCGCUGGCCGCGCAGAAGAAUGGGGGAUCUGUAACCGGCGGGUACCAAACGGUGGUAAUAAAUCCUGCGCCGUGCCACAAAAAGGGGUUUGGAGCGUCAGGCUCCAAAAGACAGUUGGCCUUUCUGUGACAGCUGGACGGUGAGCGGGAGGAGGACAAAAACCCCUCAACUAAACGCUCUCCUCACCUGCCUAAGUGGAGAGAAACCCAAAAGCCUGCCAAUACUAAAAAAAAAAAAAAAAAAAAAAA